rnacentral:rRNA from 1 species
CCCUACGGGGCGCAGCAGGCGCGAAAACUUUACAAUGCUGGAAACAGCGAUAAGGGGACCUCGAGUGCCAGGUUACAAAUCUGGCUGUCGUGAUGCCUAAAAAGCAUUGCAUAGCAAGGGCCGGGCAAGACCGGUGCCAGCCGCCGCGGUAACACCGGCGGCUCGAGUGGUAACCGUUAUUAUUGGGUCUAAAGGGUCUGUAGCCGGCCGGAUAAGUCUCUUGGGAAAUCUGGCAGCUUAACUGUCAGGCUUUCAGGAGAUACUGUCUGGCUCGAGGCCGGGAGAGGUGAGAGGUACUCCAGGGGUAGGAGUGAAAUCCUGUAAUCC